rnacentral:lncRNA from 1 species
GCCCGGCCUCCGGGAGCAGCUCCUGGCUGAGCCGAGCAGCCCCGAAAGAGAGGGACUGAUCCCGCGGGUCGAGACGUGUUCAAGCCUGGCAGAGAGUCAGGCGGGCGCCUUCGGUUCUUGCUUGGCUCAAAUCGGCAGCAGCGCGUGCUGAGCUCCUGCCCCGCAGGGUGUAGGAAGAGAUGACAACGCAGCAAUUGGAGUGAUGGUGUCCUGCUCGGAAAUGGAUGUGCUGGAUAGCAGAAGAGGAUUCUUGGCCAAGUAUGGAAUCAUCUCUGUUCCUUCACAAAGGUAAAUUUUUAAAAGGUAAACACACAGAGGUGGAUCCUUCAAGGCAGGAUGCCUUGAAGGAGGUGACCCUCACUUGACAUCAGUCAGGUAUUUCAGUGCAGCUGAGAUUAAGGAGACAUUACAAAGCUCUGAAAAUGUUCCUGAAUGUUUUUAGUUGUUCAAUUGUCUAAAAGAAUACAAGCAAUGCAAAAAACAAGGAAAGAAAGAAGCAGAACAGCACCAACUGCAUGUCCUGAACAGAAUCCAGCUUUAAUAGAGAUUAAAAAUUAUUCCCAUUCCUUUUUCUUCUUAGUGACUUAAUUUGUUCUCACCUUCUCUCUCUGCUCUCUCCACACGCCUUCCCAUUUCUUACAUGUCCUGUUCUCCUACUGUUGAACUCCUGUCGUCUUUAUUUCUCUUCCUUUCUACCUUUGGAAUCCCUUCCCUGAUGCCCCUUCCCUCCUUUGCCUCUUCUGUCUUUUCUAACUUCACCUCUCUGCUGUCUUCCUCUCCUCUACUUCAUUUCUUUUCCAUACUCUUCUCUCCCUUUUCUCUGCGCCAUUAUUUCUCUUCUUCCUUCUUCUGCACUUCUGUGCUCUGCUGUUCCCUCCUCUCAGUCCUCCCCUGCCCAUUACUCCUCUUUUCCUUUUCUCCUCCUCACUCCUGUUUCCCCGUUUCUGCUUUACCUCUUCCCACUGAUGUGGCGACUCAUCUACUCUUAGGUUCUUCUCCCUUAGUAUUAUCCUCUCCUCUUCUGCUGGGUCAUCUUCCCUCUGUCCUUGCUCCUCUUCAGCUGGCUAUUAAUUCUCCCCAUGACGGCUCCUAUUGUGCCAUUCUUUCUACCCCGCAUCCUCACUUUUCCUUCAUCUGCGUCUGCACUCCUCUUCCACUGUUCUUUCUUCUGUGUCUCCUCAGUCCUCUUUCUUCGGCAUCUGCACUCCUUUUCUCCUGUUCUUUCUUCUCUGUAUCCUCACUCCUAUUUCUUCUGCCUCUGCUUUCCUCUCUGCUCUUCUUUAUUCCCUGUAUUCUCACUUAUCUAUCUUCUGCAUCUGUUCCCCUUCUCCUGUUUUUUCCCCUGUAUCCUCACUUCUUUCUUCUGACCGCUCUCCUUUUCUGCUCUUCUUUGCUCCCUGUAUCAUCUCAUCUUCUGCAUCUGUACUCUUCUGCUGUUCAUUUUUUCCCUGUAUCUUUCCCCUCUUCCCACCUCCUGUACUUCUGCCAUACCUCUUUUCUCUCUUCUGCUCUUAAGCUCCUCUCCGCUUCUGCUUUUCUGUCUCAUCUGUAUCCACUCAUCUUUUUUUCAGCUUUUCUUCCCACCCGCUUGUUUUUCUUACCUUCAUUCUCUUUUUCUUCUCCUCCUCUUCUGCUCUUGUUUCUUCCCUGUGUCUGUUCUUCUCUCCUUCUGCUCUUAUCCUUCUCAGCAUCUGUCAUAGCUUUAUCCUCUCUUCUCCUCUUCUGCUCAUCUCCUCUUCUGCUGUCUUGCCUGUAUCAGAUCCUUUCCUCUGUUGCUCUUUUCAUCUUCUGCACUUCUUCCUUACCUGCAUCCUUCCUACUUCUCUUCUACUCUUGUUUUACCAGCAUGCUUUUUCCUCCUCUCCAGCUCUCCAAUCUGUUCCUGCUCAUCUCUCUUAAUUUCAUCCUCUCUUCAGCACCUCUCUCUUACCUGUAUCCACUCUUCAUAGGCCAUGGAAAGAAAGGUGCUUGCAAAGCAAAGGCAGGCAGGUGCUUGCUUAGCAACAGCAGGUGUGCUUGAAAAAGGUCUGACUUGAAGUGAGGGUGCAGAGCAGAUUUAACCUCUGCAGGCGUGUAUGCCAGAGCAUGAAGCAUCGUCAACGAGCACGGGGUAGCACCAGCUUGAAACAGGGGAAGCUUCCACAGAGCCCCCAGAUGGAGUCCCAGGGUGAUGAGAUGAAGCUGAUUUUGGCAGCAUUAACGGUGGUUUUCCAGGAUCUGUGCCUUCUAGGGCUGGGGGCUGUCACUGGGGUUGCUUUCACAGGACACCCCCCAGCCCAC